rnacentral:rRNA from 1 species
UGGGGAAUCUUGGACAAUGGGCGAAAGCCUGAUCCAGCAAUGCCGCGUGAGUGAUGAAGGCCUUAGGGUUGUAAAGCUCUUUUUACCAGGGAUGAUAAUGACAGUACCUGGAGAAUAAGCUCCGGCUAACUCCGUGCCAGCAGCCGCGGUAAUACGGAGGGAGCUAGCGUUGUUCGGAAUUACUGGGCGUAAAGAGUACGUAGGCGGUGAUUCAAGUCAGAGGUGAAAGCCUGGAGCUCAACUCCAGAACUGCCUUUGAAACUAGAUCGCUAGAAUCAUGGAGAGGUUAGUGGAAUUCCGAGUGUAGAGGUGAAAUUCGUAGAUAUUCGGAAGAACACCAGUGGCGAAGGCGACUAACUGGACAUGUAUUGACGCUGAGGUACGAAAGCGUGGGGAGCAAACAGGAUUAGAUACCCUAGUAGUCCCUGAGCGGGCUGGCAAGGCGCAU